GACGAACGCUGGCGGCGUGCUUAACACAUGCAAGUCGAACGGAAAGGCCCUGCUUGCAGGGUACUCGAGUGGCGAACGGGUGAGUAACACGUGGGUGAUCUGCCCUGCACUUCGGGAUAAGCCUGGGAAACUGGGUCUAAUACCGGAUAGGAGCCAUUUUUAGUGUGAUGGUUGGAAAGUUUUUUCGGUGUAGGAUGAGCUCGCGGCCUAUCAGCUUGUUGGUGGGGUAAUGGCCUACCAAGGCGGCGACGGGUAGCCGGCCUGAGAGGGUGGACGGCCACAUUGGGACUGAGAUACGGCCCAGACUCCUACGGGAGGCAGCAGUGGGGAAUAUAGCACAAUGGGCGCAAGCCUGAUGCAGCGACGCCGCGUGGGGGAUGACGGCCUUCGGGUUGUAAACUCCUUUCGCUAGGGACGAAGCUUUUUGUGACGGUACCUAGAUAAGAAGCACCGGCUAACUACGUG
rnacentral:rRNA from 1 species